AUCGCUUCUCGGCCUUUUGGCUAAGAUCAAGUAUAGUAUCUGUUCUUAUCAGUUUAAUGGGCAAAGGACCUGAAUAGACAUUUUGAAUCGGCAUUUUUCCAAAGAAGAUAU
rnacentral:snRNA from 1 species